CUCUUAAUUCGAAAGAAAUAAGAAUGAAAAUCCUUAUGACUACAUUGAGUGUAUAUACAAUAUAUACUCAAGGAAAUGGUAAAGUACCAUUUGAUCCGAAAUAAUGAAACCUCCAUAGCUAAUUGGUAGCUUAAGGUGACUACAAUUAAAGAGAUUGGUUGACUUGGAAGAAACCAUCUUUGACGUAGUCUUGGUUUCAAUUAAUUCGAAGAUUGCUAGCUAUAACUAAAUGGUGAUUCAAUGUUUGGACAUAAUAUGGGUUUCCGAAACCAUUAUUAAGAUAGUCUUGAUAAUAUAUGUCUAAAACUAUGAAUCACAAGACAUGUAAGUUGUAGAGAUCCAACCAUCAUGGAUCUUAGCAAGCUAGUGGGAGUUAUAAGCGUCUUAUGAGAGAAAGAUCAAAUCAAUUGAUUUCUCAUAAAGAUGUAAAUUAAUCUUUUGUUUACUAAGUUUACAAAAGAUUAGUGGGAGUUAAUCAUAUUCCUAAAAUUGAAUAUAUAUGAUGUAUUAAUUUUGGAAAUGAAAAGAAUACUUCUUCGUUAAAGUUAUGACUUUAAACAUUCUAUAACGAUAGAAUGUAUAUGGGAGAUAUAGUCUAAAUACAUGGGAUAGAAAUCUAUAAUGAUAUAUUUCAAGAUAUAAUUGGAUUAUAUCAAUCCCUAAUAAUAGACAAAAGAUGCUAGGAAGUUUCUCAUAUGAUGAUAAACUUCAAUUAGAAUGACGACUCUAGUGAGACUAGCAAGUUGCCCUUCUCAAAGGGAACGUACCCUUUGACUCCCAAAGAAAUAAUGCGUAAAUAGAAUCCUUUAUGCAUACGCAGAAAGGUGAUUUAUGUAUUUCAUAUUGUAUGAAAAACAUUGAUAUGAGUUCUACCUAGAAAGGUACAAGACGAUAUCAGUGCAAGCCCAGGAUCAGAACCAUGGCAACUGUCAAGUGAGUCCUUGAGUAUUUAAGAAAUACUAAAGGAU
rnacentral:lncRNA from 1 species